rnacentral:rRNA from 1 species
CCCUUAGAUGUUCUGGGCUGCACGCGCGCUACACUGAUACUUUCAGCGAGUCCACCACCUUGCCUGAGAGGGUGGGGUAACCUCUGGAAAGUGUAUCGUGAUGGGGAUCGAUUAUUGUAAUUAUUAAUCUUCAACGAGGAAUUCCUAGUAAGCAUGUGUCAUCAGCCCGUGCUGAUUACGUCCCUGCCCUUUGUACACACCGCCCGUCGCUCCUACCGAUUGGGUGUGCUGGUGAAAUGUUCGGAUCGGCCGUUUGUCGCGGUUUCCGCGUCAUGUGGCUGAGAAGUUCAUUAAACCCUCCCACCUAGAGGAAGGAGAAGUCGUAACA